rnacentral:misc_RNA from 1 species
AUGUCCGCGUUAGACCCGUCGUUUAUUAAUAUCAAUGAUAAUCAAGAAAAUAAAGAGGUGAAUGAAUGGAUUCGAUUCGGAAUGCGAUUGGCAGUAAGCGCCGCUCUUCAUCCAUUUGAAUACUCGAAGGUGCUUAUCCAGCUAGGCUAUGAGCCUAUACCGCCGCGCCGCGGCACAUCCCUUUUCGGUAGACCAAUUAUGGUGCUUCCAAAUAUUUUUCAGUAUGCUGGUUACAUCAGAAAAAUGGAUGGAUUCUAUGGCUGCUACCGAGGUCUUGCGCCUAAACUGGCGGGCUCGAUUGUAAGCAUGAUCUUCAGUGAGAAAAUUGCAGAUAAAGUUGGCCUUCCAGCUAUCGAUGAUAAAGACAAAGACGACUUUGGCCUCACCGAAGAAGAACUUUACGUCCAAUUCAAAGUGAAUCUAAAGCGGGAUGUGGUUUUGAGCGUAUCCGGAAUUAUUGUGUCGCAUCCGUUUCAUGUCAUCUCUCUGCGAAUGAUGGCACAGUUUAUUGGUCGAGAAACGCUCUAUCAAUCGAUUUUUGGUUCCAUUAAAGAGAUUUACAAAACUGAAGGAGUUUUAGGCUUCUUUGCUGGAUUAGUUCCAAAACUACUUUGCGACGUUGUGUGUUUGGUGUUGACAAGUACGACAGUGUUCGUGCUUAACAAAUAUGUUAUUAAGGAUAAAAUUGGCAGACAGUAUAAUGCAGGUUUUGUGCAGUUCGCCUUCUCAAGCAUCUUAUAUCCUCUUCAAGUGGUCUCCACUUGCAUGUCGGUGACGAGCUCACGUUUAAUGGCUGGCCGACCUCCUAUAAUGCCAGAAUACAAAAACUGGGUUGAUUGUUGGAAUGACUUACAAACUCGGGGCCAACUUAAGCGUGGUAGUUCGUUGUUUUGGAGGUCUGUUGGAGGAUCAUCAAAAGUUGUCACCCUUGGAAAGCGCGGGGACUUUGCGCCCUUACCCACUAUUUCAAAAUACCAAUAAGUCAAGCAUUUCAGUUAUUACCUCAAUCACUGUGCAAACGAUGCAUUUGAAAUAUAUUUUUCGCUGUUGAUUUUCAACGCAAUACAUUAACUAGCUGUAUUUGGUGAUGACCAUUUUUAGGAUACGAGAUUCAAAUUGCAAACGACAUGGACAGCACCGAAGUGCAUCUUAAAUUAAAGGAAUCUAGUUCAUAAAUUAUCCAGCAUUUGUUAAUUAUCUGGCUGGACUGAUUACAAACAAGAAGUUGGGAAUCUAAAGGGAUUCCACACCAGUUGGAAAUUAAAUAAAACUGCCCCUGUUCUGUUUUAAA